rnacentral:rRNA from 1 species
UACGAAGGGGGCUAGCGUUGCUCGGAAUCACUGGGCGUAAAGGGUGCGUAGGCGGGUUCUUAAGUCAGAGGUGAAAUCCUGGAGCUCAACUCCAGAACUGCCUUUGAUACUGAGAGCCUUGAGUACGGGAGAGGUGAGUGGAACUGCGAGUGUAGAGGUGAAAUUCGUAGAUAUUCGCAAGAACACCAGUGGCGAAGGCGGCUCACUGGCCCGUUACUGACGCUGAGGCACGAAAGCGUGGGGAGCAAACAGG